ensembl:lncRNA
CCACAGGUCUCUGUUCCGAAUCAGUAAUGUUUCAUCCAUGACUCUAAUAAAGAUAUAAAAGUUUUAUUAAAUAACAGUGUGCUCAUGUGAUUCUAAACUGGGAGGAGCGUUGACUACCUGGGAUGGGGCGGCCCUUGCUCUAUGCACAGGUUGGAUGGAUGAGGGGCUGGAGAGCUGUGCUGCAGAAAGGGAUCCGGAGGUUCUGAUUGGCGGCACAUUGAAUCUGAGUAGGCUCUCAGUCCCACCACAUUUGGGGCCCCCACCCCAGCUCUGUGUUGUCGCCUUCACUGCCCCUCCCAUGAGGAUGAUUUGAGUAAGGCACAACAACACAUUCAGUAUGAACACAGAAGAGCAGGAAACUCAUCGGCCAUGAGGACAACAGAAACCUUCAGGUCUGAGAGCGCUUCAAUGAACAGCCUCAGACACACACACACACACACACACACACACACACACACACACACACACACCUUGCAUCUGCUAGAGUUUAUUUUUCAAAACAUUCCUAAUGAUUUGAUAUAAGCAGCAAUCUUAAAGAAAACAAAACAGUUAACAAGUUGUGAAGUCCCACAGUUAAAAUAUCAACAGAGCCUACAGCCAAUCUUGAGCUUUGGCUUAUAAUUAUUUAGUUUUUGUUUUGUUUUGUUUUUUAUGUUUUGUUUUUUUAAAGAAGAAAAUAAGUUGGUAGAACAGAAACCCUUAAUACUACUUCUAUAAGUUUCCCCUCCAGUUUGCAGACAGUAUUUUUCCACAGACUGUGUCCUUACAAAAGUGAAGCAACUCACACACAGGAACAGCUGUACAAGAAUACAUCCAAGAAAAGCCUCAACAGCCUAAAUGACAAAUAAUACCCAAUUAAAUAUCCAUUUAAGGCACAAGCCUGUUUUGGGGAAAAACAUCACAUACAAAACAAGACCUGCUAAAUAAAUAUUGGAGGGGGUGGGCAAGGUGAAGCUAAUUCCAGUGCAUACUGCAUCAUUGCUCCAAAGAGAGAUUCUGGCCAAAUAUUUGGGAAAGGAUGAAGCGUGAGUGAUCACGACUGUACACGUUUGAGGUACAUCAACCUGGUAUUACAACUCUCAUUGUACCACUCAAUAAAUCAAAGACAUUUGCAGAGUAAUAGCAUCCCUCCUUUCAUUACUGCCUUCACUACCUGGCCUUCCCAAGUCCUUUUGCUCUUUCUUCCCAGGAUUCCUUUGCUUGACCCUGAAUAUCCAAUUUUCACGCUUUUUUCCCAGUGAAUCUGAAGAUCUAUUUUUAAACAAACAUGUUUAAUAUGAAAACAUAUUUCAUUUAGUUGGAAUUCACUAUCCAUAAACUGCAACAAGAGGAAGUACUUAAGUUCAGAAACGUGAGGACAAAAGGCUGUAACCCACAGCCUGUAGGUAAGUCAGUCAAACAACUGGGACCCACUGCAGAAGAAACCAUCUGCGGUAGUUCCAGUGCCUGGUGCAUUCAUACAGGAAGAAAUGCUUUUAGAAUUUAAUUGCUUGAAUUUCAAAGAAACGACUCAGAACACAUCACAACAAAAGGUGAGAUAGGCAAACUUAAGGACCACGUUCAUCACCUUUAACAUCCAUCACACGGCACUCUCCUAUCACACAUACAAGUGACGUAGAUAACAUAUUGCCAUUAAAGCAUUCACAAACAGCGAGCUCAAUUGUGAUUUACUAUUAAAGGUUAACAGCUACAAAUUCACUUCAAUCAUCAGAGAAACUGCUUUAGUAGCAAAUGCUGGCAAUACUUUUUAGCAUAUCCAAUUUUGGUGCUAAACUAAAUCUGCAUGUUGCAAAUAGAAAAGACAGCUUCAAAAACAAAAUUUCAUUCCUAAAAGCGGAACACGAAGCUCUAAUAUGGACACACAGCAAAUAAGAUGUAGAGAGAUUCAUUUUUUCUAUAUUCACCUUAAAUGCAAGCAGUUCAGGAAUUAGAAAAUAAUGUUCAUCUGAACACAAGCAUGCACACCACAGCACUGAACCGGAAGGGUUGCUAACAGGCUUCCAACCUGCUCUCUACCUGACAGAUUCAGAGCUGAAGACUACGAAAUGAUGCCUAAUUAAUUUAUUCUCAGUGCUGCACCUUCGUGUAGGUGACAAAACCUGUAGCUGUGUUAGCCUACAUUCUCCUCAAAUGGGAUUUCCUAAAAGAAAAAAUAAAUCAGAUCCGAAAAAUGUGAAGUGCCUGGCAUACAGCUCAACAUUUGUAAUAGGCGCCACUUUUCUUCUGCAAGAGCAGAGCCCAAUCCCAAAAUAACGCACAUUUUAUGUGCUCUCCUCAAAGUUUCUAAAGCGUC